GUAAAGAAAUCCCAGAGACAGCUCCUUUAACACUGUUGUUUGUGACUUUAAAAUUGCAUGCCUUCAGUUACCAUAGCAAGCAUAUUUCUGUUUUUGUUGAAGACAUUUUGAACAGAACAUAUUUCACCAAAUUCUUUGAAGCUUAUGCGCAGAGAUUUGACAGCAGAGGAGAAUGUACAUGAGUAUAGGAUUUCUUUGUAUGUGGAAUCUGGCCAAGCACAACAUUAAUCCAGACCAUCACGAGGUGAGACAUUAAAUAUACACACACUUAUGUUUUUCUUCUGUUCUUUGUUCAUUCAGGGAGUGCAUGAGUCUGGCAGGUACUUCAAAUGACAGUUGGAAGUGAUUGCAUUUUGCAUUAAUGCCUCAUUACUCACAGGCCACUAUAAUGCAGGAGAGGAGAGAGCAAGGAAGCAUAAAUCAGAAAUGAUUUCUUCUUUAAGAAACUCUUGUUUGGGAGGAUUGUGUUGAAGACAAUGAAAGAGGCAAAUGGCAUAAUUAUAAUUAACACAAUUAAUUUAAGUAUAAUUGUUUCUUAGAGCUUUACUGUCUGCAAGAGCUGUGGUCAUUAUUAGAUAAUUAAGAAAGUAUAGACUCAUUACAUUACAUUGCAUUGCAUUAUAUUUAUUAUAUUGUAGCCAUACGGAAAAAGCUCUUUUAAUGUUCAUUUUACUGUACUGCGUAAUGUACAUGUUUAUCAUCUGUAUACAUUUAAAUUAACACUCAGCAUAAUGUACAUAUUCUGGGCAUUGUAGG